rnacentral:rRNA from 1 species
CCGGGAGUAGUGGUGAGCGAAACCGGAGGAGGCUAAACCGUCUGUGUGUGAUACCCGGCAGGGGUUGCGCGGGCGGGGUUGUGGGAGUUCUCUUGAUCGUUCUGCCGGACGGUCGGCGAGUAAGAAACCAUUGCGGUAGUCGAAGGGCAUGCGAAAGGCCCGGCGUAGAGGGUAAGACCCCCGUAGACGAAAUCGUGAUGGCUCGUUUGAGGGCCACCCAAGUAGCACAGGGCCCGAGGAAUCCUGUGUGAAUCUGGCGGGACCACCCGUUAAGCCUAAAUAUUCCCUGGUGACCGAUAGUGGAUAGUACCGUGAGGGAAUGGUGAAA